rnacentral:tRNA from 1 species
GGGGAUGUAGCUCAGCGGGUAGAGCGCUUGCUUUGCAUGUAAGAGGCCCUGGGUUCAACCCCCAGCAUCUCCA